UACGUAGGGGGGCUAGCGUUGUCCGGAAUCAUUGGGCGUAAAGAGCGCGUAGGCGGCCAGAUAAGUCCGGUGUGAAAGUCACAGGCUCAACCUGUGAAUGCCGCUGGAAACUGUCUGGCUAGAGUCCGGAAGGGGCGAGUGGAAUUCCUGGUGUAGCGGUGAAAUGCGCAGAUAUCAGGAGGAACACCAAUGGCGAAGGCAGCUCGCUGGAACGGUACUGACGCUGAGGCGCGAAAGCGUGGGGAGCGAACAGG
rnacentral:rRNA from 1 species